rnacentral:misc_RNA from 1 species
UUUUUUUUUUUUUUUUGGCUUUCUGAUCUCUGAUUUUCUGCAUAUAUAUGGUGAGGUUUCAGAUUGUUAGAACAAUUGGCUAGAUUGUUCCUGGAGGCUGUUGGUUUUAAUUUAGAAUGUGCUGGAGUAAUUAAUCCAAAAGUCUAAACCAGUAUCUGGAGAGACCUGUGCAGUAUAUAAGCAUAACCAGCAUGGAUUACUCAAUGUCUUUUUCUGGAAUAACAAAAUCACACAAAAAUGCUGGAAAAACAUCAAUGAACAAGUCUGUUGCAGUGGUGAUAAUUACUCUAAAUGAAAUGCAAUACAAGAACCCAAAACUUAGGUGGGAGCUGGACUGGGAAACCGAAAGGUGCCAUACUUCCCACAAUUACAAACGAUAGGAUCAUUCAACAGGAGAUAUAGUUAUAUUUUUUUACAGUUAUGUGUUUAUUUUACAAUGUUGAGUUUUUGAUGAUGAUACAUUUGUAAUGUUAUAGUUUUAUUUGCACAAUUACUCGAUUGUCUGAAAAGUAGAGGACCAACACCUUUUCAUUGCAACCUUAUUUUAUUUUCUUUCUUUUGUUACUAUCUAGUACUUGAUUAGGCUCAACCAUGCUUUACUUCCACUUAGUUGGAGUCCAUAUAUGAAUCCUUUUGCAGCAUCCUAUAGAACACUAUAAUUUGCUAAGACUCAACCAAUUGUUUUCUUUAGUUUUUUCUUCUGCACAUUGAUGAAAAAUGCCUUGAACUCCAGUUUUUAGUUCAGUUGUCUAUGAUAAAGCAGCAGUGGCCAGUAUUGGACUUACUUUAGAGGCAGUGGACUUCACUAUGUAAGAUCAGUCUUCCGUUAGUUCAUCACCAAUCUUUCCAUUGUUCUUGAAUGCAAGUUUUGACGUUGACAAUUAACGUAUCAUACCAACCCGAAUACUAAGUUUAGGAAUUUUUCUUACUUGCUUGAAUAAACCUUUUUUUUUAUGUGGGAGUUUUAAAGUACCAUAAAAUUUGUGGCUCAAGCUUAUGGUUUGUGCAUGUGAGGGGGAGAGAGAGCAUAUGUGUGAGAGAGUGUAUGUGUGCUUUAGAUUAUUGUAAGAGUUGAAAGCACCACUAGGCAUGUUGAGGUUUGCGUUUGUGAGUGAGUUCUUUUAGAGUUUGAGAAUUUGAUAAUAUUUUCUUUGAUAGUGAAUUUUUUUAUAGAGUAGGCGAAUCUCACAGUCUAUAAUUUAUUUUGCAGUUUUUUGCAUAAAACACAUCCUUUUGGAUUUUCCUUUUGUACACUCUACUCAGCUUUAAUUUCUGUACCAUUGCACUCACAAGUCUAUCUUGCUCUUUCUUCUUGAUUCUUGAUACUUCAAGAACGUCUCCUUCUUCUUUAAGUGCUGUUAUAGAUGUCUAUGACUAGCUGGAGAGAGCUUGUACAUGUGGCUGAUUGUGUCACCAGUUUGGUGAAAACGACAACUAAGCCUUAAUUCCAAAGUAGUUGGAGUCAGCUAUAUGAAUUCUUUUUUGCCAUUCAGUUCUGUUAGUUUGAUGAAAAAUGAAAAGAUAUUUAAUUGCUACAUUAAAAUAUCCAGAAAAUUGUUACUUAGUUGACAGGUGGGAACUGAUUGCAUUUUGUUGGUCCAGAACAAAACCUUUAUGCAGAUUCCAAAUUGCAAGAAUGAUGCUCCACAACUAAGAGAUUUCCUUGCACCAUUAUUUAAUUGCCUGUGUCCUUGAUUCUUUAUUAGUGACAGGGAAGAAUUUGAAUUAGUUGAAAGCAUUUAUCCUUCAUUAUUCUGAUUCUAAAUUACUGAUAACAAUCAAAAGGAUUUAUGCAGGUCUUCAAAGUCUGGACCAAGGAUUGAUCAACAUGAAGAACAAAAGGUUUUGUUAGAUUUUGAGUUCCCACUAUAGCUUAAGAGGCUUGACUUGAAAAAUUCUAGUUUGAAGGCCUUAUAAACUAAGCAACAAGCAUUAAUAAAGCAUCCUCAGUUUAUCUUUACAUGUCUUCUCAGCUUUCUGCCUUAUGGUAAGGUUUUGCUACUGAGAUGAUUGAGUCUAACUCAAUGGUAAUAUCAAAAAAAAAAAGUCAUUUGCACCUCCAUUCAAACUUAAAAAGUAAUAUUAAAAAAUUGGGCUUUCUUGUAUAUCAAACAAGAAAAUAAAAUUGUAUUUUAGAUCAUUUCAUUUUUCAUUUUCAUUUUCGUAGCAAAUAAAAAUGUAA